rnacentral:rRNA from 1 species
GGCUGGGCUCGAGCCGCGGCUGGGGGAGCAGUCGCUCCGCCGCCCGCCUCUCUCCGCCGCUGGAAGCUGGCGUUCGGCCCGCCUCGCGGGGCUCCUCGUUUGCGUCGCCUCGUGCGUCGCGGCGGGGUUCUCUCGCGGGGUGGUGUCCGGCGCCGCGUCGAAGGCGGGCCGGUGGAGGGGACUGGGUACGGCGGAUGCGGCGGCGACUCUGGACGCGCGCCGGGCCCUUCUCGCGGAUCUCCCCAGCUGCGGCGUCUGUGGGGGCCCCGUUCACGCGGGGUCCCUGCGGGUCGCCCUCGGGCUGGGCGCCUAGCAGCUGACUU